UGAGAGAGUAUAGUGUCCUCCAUGAUGUC
rnacentral:piRNA from 1 species